rnacentral:hammerhead_ribozyme from 1 species
AUCUAGCUGACGAGUCCCAAAUAAGACAGAACACAUGUCUUGGAU